UAAGGAAUAUUGGUCAAUGAGCGCAAGCUUGAACCAGCCAUGCCGCGUGCAGGACGACUGCCCUAUGGGUUGUAAACUGCUUUUAUACGGGAAUAAACCCCACUACGUGUAGUGGGCUGAAUGUACUGUAAGAAUAAGGAUCGGCUAACUCCGUGCCAGCAGCCGCGGUAAUACGGAGGAUCCAAGCGUUAUCCGGAUUUAUUGGGUUUAAAGGGUGCGUAGGCGGCCUAUCAGGUCAGAGGUGAAAGACGGUAGCUUAACUAUCGCAGUGCCUUUGAAACUGGUGGGCUUGAAUGUACUUGAGGUGGGCGGAAUGUGACAAGUAGCGGUGAAAUGCAUAGAUAUGUCACAGAACCCCGAUUGCGAAGGCAGCUCACUAAAGUAUGAUUGACGCUGAUGCACGAAAGCGUGGGGAUCAAACAGGAUUAGAUACCCUGGUAGUCCACGCCCUAAACGAUGAAUACUCGAUGUUGGCGAU
rnacentral:rRNA from 1 species